UACGGAGGAUGCGAGCGUUAUCCGGAUUUAUUGGGUUUAAAGGGUGCGUAGGCGGAGUGCCAAGUCAGCGGUAAAAAUUCGGGGCUCAACCCCGUCGUGCCCUUGAAACUGGCGCCCUUGAGUGGGCGAGAAGUAUGCGGAAUGCGUGGUGUAGCGGUGAAAUGCAUAGAUAUCACGCAGAACCCCGAUUGCGAAGGCAGCAUACCGGCGCCCGACUGACGCUGAAGCACGAAAGCGUGGGUAUCGAACAGG
rnacentral:rRNA from 1 species